GCCUGGGUGGCUCAGUUGGUUGAGCGUCCGACUUCGGCUCAGGUCAUGAUCUCACGGUUUGUGGGUUCGAGCCCCAUGUUGGGCU
rnacentral:tRNA from 1 species